CCUCCGGUAGCUCAGCAGGAAGAGCGAACAGAGCACAAUAGCAUCUGCGUUAAUGACAAUGCAUCUCUGUUGACGCUGGUUCGAGUCCAGCUCGGAGGG